rnacentral:rRNA from 1 species
GUGGGGAAUAUUGGACAAUGGGCGCAAGCCUGAUCUAGCCAUGCCGCGUGAGCGAUGAAGGCCUUAGGGUUGUAAAGCUCUUUCAGCUGGGAAGAUAAUGACGGUACCAGCAGAAGAAGCCCCGGCUAACUCCGUGCCAGCAGCCGCGGUAAUACGGAGGGGGCUAGCGUUGUUCGGAAUUACUGGGCGUAAAGCGCACGUAGGCGGAUCAGAAAGUCAGAGGUGAAAUACCAGGGCUCAACCUUGGAACUGCCUUUGAAACUCCUGAUCUUGAGGUCGAGAGAGGUGAGUGGAAUUCCGAGUGUAGAGGUGAAAUUCGUAGAUAUUCGGAGGAACACCAGUGGCGAAGGCGGCUCACUGGCUCGAUACUGACGCUGAGGUGCGAAAGCGUGGGGAGCAAACAGGAUUAGAUACCCGAGUAGUCC